rnacentral:rRNA from 1 species
AUUGAACGCUGGCGGCAGGCUUAACACAUGCAAGUCGAGCGAGCGGCGGACGGGUGAGUAAUGUCUGGGAAACUGCCUGCUGGAGGGGGAUAACUACUGGAAACGGUAGCUAAUACCGCAUACCAUCAGAUGUGCCCAGAUGGGUUUAGCUCGUGGGUGGGGUAAUGGCUCACCUAGGCGACGAUCCCUAGCUGGUCUGAGAGGAUGACCAUCACGACUGGAACUGAGACACGGUCCAGACUCCUACGGGAGGCAGCAGUGGGGAAUAUUGCACAAUGGGCGCAAGCCUGAUGCAGCCAUGCCGCGUGGGUGAAGAAGGCCUUCGGGUUUUAAAGCACUUUCAGCGAGGAGGCGUUACCCGCAGAAGAAGCACCGGCUAACUCCGUGCCAGCAGCCGCGGUAAUUC